GAUCCUGUGAGCCACUGAUAUCCCUCAUGCCCAGGCGGGACAAUUGUGGGACAAGCAGUUGGUUGGAAAUCUCACUGCUGUGUGAUCCUGAACCAUUUUCCGGGGCGUUCUUGGCUUUUCUCGAUCCACCUUGAUGGCAGCACAAAGCCAGGAGGUGGCACUGCCAGGCAGCGAGGCCGGUCCCGCUCUGAACCCGCCUCCAGCCUUUCAGAAUCCGAGGAAACAGGAAAGGCCUGAAGGAUUGCUGAGCUGCUCUCACCAAAUCCUUCAGCCACAAAAUCUCAGCAGUUCCAGAGCAGAGACAACACCUCGUGGAGAGGAUUUAUUUCAUCAUCAACACCUGGCAGUGUCCUGGUCCCCAUCCCAGCCACAAGGUCUGGAAUGAAGGAGAAAGGUGAGCAGAGAGUGGUGGGACAGGGCUUGGAGCGUUCCUGGGAUGUGGGAGAGCUCCAGUGGGGAAAGCUUGGCCAGGUGGGAUGGAGCCUUGCAGGAACCUCAUCAGGAAGGUGUCACCAGCUGCUCUGGGAGGUUCAUCCCAACCCAAACCAUCCCAGGGAUUUAUGGAGCAGGGUGGAGGAGCCUGGUUGCUCACAGCAGUGAAGGUCCCACUGAGUGCCAAGGUCACUGGGAAAACGCCCUGGAAAGCCUCUCCAGGCCAUCACUGGGGUCACAGCUGGAUGGGCUCUUAUCUGCCUGGAAGGGCUUCUUAUCUUCCCAUUGUUUUGGAAAGUUGCUGCUUCAGAAAGAAUUGCAUUCCCCUGGGUUAAAGGACACACUUGGACUGUUGAAAUCCCAGAGCACCUUUGGAGGACGAGUCUGGGGGUCAUAGCAGGAGAGCCAGGAAGCUGAGGAGGAUGAUGAGGGUGAGGUGGCCCUGCAGGGACGAUCCCAAUGACUCCUGAUGAAAAUCCUGGUGAGCCAAGGAAAAGAAAUCAGUCAGAAAGUCCCAUGUGCUAAAAGCCUGUGGCAGUGCUGACAGGCACCCACCUGAGUGUCCUUGGCACCCCUUGGAGUGUCCUUGGCACCCCUUGGAGUGUCCUUGGCA